rnacentral:rRNA from 1 species
AUGGGGUUCAUCAUCUCGCCGGCCUUGAGUGUCGCCGCUACGGGGCACGAGCAUGGAGGCGGCCGGGAUGGUGUGGUGCCGCCGCCGCUACGGGACACGAGCACGGAGGCGGCUGGGAUAGUGUGCUUAGGGAGUUGGGAGAGGAACAGGGGGAGACGAUGGCGGCCUGAGGGGGCGGCGCUGGGCGCCAUGGGGUUCAACAUCUCGCCGGCCUUGACUCGCGCACGUCUCGUUCCGCUCAGGGCACAUCCUGCCUCAGCAGCCACACCUGUCCCUCCAAGCACAGAGCUUGCUGCCCCCACCCCCGUACAAUGA